rnacentral:rRNA from 1 species
AGGACGAACGCUGGCGGCGUGCUUAACACAUGCAAGUCGAGCGGAAAGGCCCUUCGGGGUACUCGAGCGGCGAACGGGUGAGUAACACGUGAGCAACCUGCCCUUAGCUCUGGGAUAGCUCCGGGAAACCGGAAUUAAUACCGGAUAUGACCUAGGCCGACAUCGGCCGUGGUGGAAAGUUUUUCGGCUAGGGAUGGACUCGCGGCCUAUCAGCUAGUUGGUGGGGUAAUGGCCUACCAAGGCGACGACGGGUAGCCGGCCUGAGAGGGCGACCGGCCACGACUGGGACUGAGACACGGCCCAGACUCCUACGGGAGGCAGCAGUGGGAAUCUUGCGCAAUGGGCGAAAGCCUGACGCAGCGACGCCGCGUGGGGAUGAAGGCCUUCGGGUUGUAAACCCCUUUCAGCAGGGACGAAGCGAAAGUGACGGUACCUGCAGAAGAAGCGCCGGCCAACUACGUGCCAGCAGCCGC